GCGCGUCACUCCCGAGUGAAUCUCAUGUCGUCUUAGCUUCCGUUCCAGUUAGUUUAGGCAUUCAAGCAUUCCUGAAGUCAGUGAAGUGACUAGCUCAUAUUAUCCUUCACUGUGAGACCGACUAACACACAGAACCUGUCAUUUUUACCGAGUUUGUAACAUAAAGACCCGGGCGUGGCAAAGGGGACGCAGCAAAUCGGAAGGUGCACGUGUAAGUUUCUGCACUAGGUGUUGGAUUGUAACGAUGUGGACUAACAUCAUAGCCGUGACGGUAGCCGUGGUGGGAGUUUUAUACUGGAGAUCACAGCGCGUGGAACAGUUUAUCAUACAGGAGAAUCCCGAUGAACGCUACGAUUACGUCAUAGUGGGAGCGGGUAGCGCUGG